GACGAACGCUGGCGGCGUGCUUAACACAUGCAAGUCGAACGGAAAGGCCCUGCUUUUGUGGGGUGCUCGAGUGGCGAACGGGUGAGUAACACGUGAGUAACCUGCCCUUGACUUUGGGAUAACUUCAGGAAACUGGGGCUAAUACCGGAUAGGAGCUCCUGCUGCAUGGCGGGGGUUGGAAAGUUUCGGCGGUGGGGGAUGGACUCGCGGCUUAUCAGCUUGUCGGUGGGGUAGUGGCUUACCAAGGCUUUGACGGGUAGCCGGCCUGAGAGGGUGACCGGCCACAUUGGGACUGCGAUGCGGCCCAGCCUCCUACGGGAGGCAGCAGUGGGGAAUAUUGCACAAUGGGCGGAAGCCUGAUGCAGCAACGCCGCGUGCGGGAUGACGGCCUUCGGGUUGUAAACCGCUUUCGCCUGUGACGAAGCGUGAGUGACGGUAAUGGGUAAAGAAGCACCGGCUAACUACGUG
rnacentral:rRNA from 1 species